rnacentral:lncRNA from 1 species
GCGUGGGAGAACAAUCGGUGAGUUCCUGUCCUAUUCAGACGGAGCGAAGCCAUCCCGCCCAGCUCCCCUCCCCAUAGCAACUCUGUUCACUCCCGCGCUCAGUGUCUGACGUACCUUCGUUCAAGUUAAUUUUCUCAUAACCUUUCUAAAUCACUUACUUUUCGGGAUGAAAUAACCUCAAAACAUAUUUCUCAUGCAAUAUCAAGUGAAAAUAAUAAAGCAAAAUUGUGACUCUGACGGGAAAUACCAUGCUGAUCCACCUCAUUCGACCAGACACCAGACUCCACACUCCAGUGUACUUUCUGCUGAGUCAGCUCUCCAUCACACUCCAGUGCACUUUCUGCUGAGUCAGCUCUCCAUCACUGACAUGACGGACGUCUCCACCACGGUGCCCAAGAUGGCAGUCAACUUCCUCUCACAGAGUCUCGGCUCAUUGACCACUUUUUCUGUGAAGUUCCAGCUCUACUGUCAUUGGCGUGUCAGGACACCUCCCAGUAUGAGGAUACAAUCCUCCUGAGUGGAUUUACUAUUCUGCUGCUACCAUUCUUGGCCAUUCUAGCUUCCUAUGCCCGUGUGCUUAUUGUGGUAUUCCACGUGAGCUCAGGAAAAGGACAGGCAAAAGCUGUUUCUACUUGUUCCUCCCACCUGACUGUGGCAAGCCUAUGCUAUGCAACUGCUCUCUUUACCUGCACAAGGCCACACGCCUUGCAUUCCCCAUCACAGGGCAAUUUUACACCAUUAUCACACCUCUACUGAACCCAUCCAUUUAUAGCCUGUGAAAUAAGGAAGUCAUGGGGGCAAUGAGGAGACUGUUGGGAUAAUGGCUAUGCUAUGGAAAAUGCGACUGUAGAACCCUGUAUCGAUUGAGAAUUAACAUCAAAAGCUGUUCCUGAAAACUAUCUGGAAAGAUAUAAAUAUGUGUUUUCUGUAUAGAAGUCACAAAAACAAUGUUUAUCAAACUUCUUUAACUUCUAAAGAAAUAGAAUUUAACCUUCUCAACUCAGUGUUCCCCUGGCAUGUUCAUAUUUUGACUUGCCCUCUUGAAUGCUCUGAAAUGUGAACCAUAGAAGUAAAAUCUACCUAAACAUGUAACAUCAAGAUAAUCUAUAUCACAACAAAAGUUGACAGAGAAAAAAAUGUGUAAGACAUUCAUUCAUUCUUUCACUCAGGUGUUUUAAUGCUUUAAUUUUGUGUGAGACACUGUUACAGGCACUGGUCAUGUGAGAGUAAACAAAAAAUAAAUGCUGACAGAAAUCUCUACUGAUCAGCAACCUUAAUUCCGUCUGCCACCUUAGUUUCCCUUUGCCACAGAACCUGAUGUAUUCACAGUUGCUGGAAGUUAGGCCUUGUGGACAUCUUUGGUGGGCCAUUUUUCUCCCUCAUGUGUAGUGUUGUGUACAAUGGUGUAUGUUUAACAGAAGAACACCAAGGCCAACUCCUGGCAACACUAAGGCCUAACCGAUAAAAGCC